rnacentral:misc_RNA from 1 species
CAGGGCGUGCUGGGCUCGUUCGCCGCGCUGCUGGCCGGCGGGGCCGUCCUGCUGGGGGUGUUCUUCGUGGCCGCCCGCCGCAUGCGCAUCGAGGAGGUCAAUUCGCUGGUCGGCAUGGUCCGCGGGCGCCUGGGUCGAUGAGGCGGUCCGGGGUAGGCGCACAACCAUCGUCCGCCACCGUGU